AACACAUUCCCACGACCUGAUAAAAACAUUCAGGUUGUAGGCUUCCAGCUACUACUAUUCUUAUAGGUUGUGUAACUCUAUCACAGGCAGUAUAAGGAUUGAUCCUUUUCUCCCUCCUCCUGAAAACAAACACUUAUCCCAAAUUUAUCCUCGUCCCUCUCCAAAUUCAAGCAACUAUUCACACAAUCGUCAUCCUCGUCGUUCUAAUUUCACUCCUUUGCCAAAUUGGACUUGAUCUCUGCAUCAGGAUGCCGAUUCCGUGAACAAUCAACCCACUCAGUCUCGCCCAUGGAACAAUCAACCCACUCAAUUUCCAUGAACAAUUGAUAAGGCUAAUUUCAUGCAUUGGUUAUAGGGAUAAAUUUUGUGCUUUCCUGGGUCUAACAAGAUUUUAUAAGCCAGGUGUGUAGAGAAAUCGCCAGCCCCAGGAAGAAGACGAAGAUUGCCUGGAAGAAGAAGCUGGCGGGAAAAGUGAGCGGAAGAAGGAAGAGUUACUAGACUAAGGAGCAUCCAAUUAGAGGGAAAAAUGGGAAUUACAAGAACAGUCUAGAAGCUCUACCUACUAUAAAUAAGAGCACGCGAUCAACAUGAAGAUAUCUCUUUUUCCACAUCGGCUCUUAGCUUAGUUUUUCCAUUUUUCUCUACACACACUUGAGGGGAAUCAUUCUGGGGAGUUCACGUUUCGGAUCUAGUUGUGGUGUAACACCAUCUCUACGGAGGCGAAGAUACAAUCGUUAUUUGCUUUCAGUUUAUAUUCCGUAUUUUCCCGAGUCUUCGUUGUUCGAAGCUCGGUUGUGUUUUGUUAUUCUCUCGUUGGAUACUUUGUAUCUUGCUAUGGAGAUUUCUAUUUUGGUUUCA